GAGAAUUAGGGUUCGAUUCCGGAGAGGGAGCCUGAGAAACGGCUACCACAUCUACGGAAGGCAGCAGGCGCGUAAAUUACCCAAUCCUGAUUCAGGGAGGUAGUGACAAGAAAUAACAACUCGGGGCCUCACGGCUUACGAGAUUGCAAUGAGAACAAUUUAAAUCUCUUAGCGAGGAACAAUUGGAGGGCAAGUCUGGUGCCAGCAGCCGCGGUAAUUCCAGCUCCAAUAGCGUAUAUUAAAGUUGUUGCAGUUAAAAAGCUCGUAGUUGAAUUUUCUGAUUAUGGAUGUAGCGGUUUCCGUUACAUUUGUAGUCAUCCACAUGAGAACCUUUCUCGGCCUUCACUGGUCGGUUGGGGGAUCAUGUACUUUACUUUGAAAAAAUUAGAGUGUUCAAAGCAGGCUUACGCUUGAAUACUUCAGCAUGGAAUAAUGGAAUAGGAC
rnacentral:rRNA from 1 species